GGAGUUGUGGCUUAGUGGUAGAGCGCUUGCCUGGCAUGUGUGAGGCCCUGGGUUCAAUCCUCAGCACCA
rnacentral:tRNA from 1 species